rnacentral:lncRNA from 1 species
GCCAACCAAGAUUUUAGUAUAGAAAUUCUAUUCAUGCUAUUGCCUGCAACAAUCAUGUCAUCCACAUAUAAUAGCAAGAUACAAAAGCUACCAUCACCAUAAUCACAAAAGCAAGCACAGUGAUUAGCUUCUCAUCUACCAAAAUAGAGCUUUCAGUAUAGAAAUCUUGUUCGUGCUAUUGCCUACAAUAAUCAUGUCAUCUACAUACAAUAGCAAGAU